rnacentral:lncRNA from 1 species
GCCUGUACAGGGUAAAGUCAGACAUAGACAAAAAUUAAGCUAUUUGAAAGCAAAACAUAUUUUAGACUUGCUAUUAAGAAAUUUCAGGUUAUAAAUACAUGUAUAUGAAGAAUACAAGCAUAUCUUUAAUCGGUUUCAGUCAUGGCCAAUUUGAGCUGCCACCUUCGUCAAUUCUAAUCAAUGACAUUACUUUAUUCUAGAACCAAAAAAAAAUUCAUUAUUUCAACUUUUAAAUUGUUCGCCUUGUCUAAGUAGCUUUCCAAAUAUAUGACAAAAUAUAUUGUUAUCCAUGUAUCAUACUAAAUGCAUACACACUGUUAGAAAGCAUGAAGCUGUGGAAGUGUCUCAGGGUUCAAUUCCACUAUGUGGCACCUUAGGCAAGUGUUUUCUACUAUAGCCUCAGGCUGACCAAAACCUUGUGAGCGGAUGCGGUAGAUGGAAACUGAAAGACACUCAUGAUAUAUAUAUAGGCAUAGGAGUGGCCGUGUGGUAAGUAGCUUGCUUACCAACCACAUGGUUCCGGGUUCAGUCCCACUACGUGGCACUCGGACAAGUAUCUUCUACUAUAGCCUCGGGCCAACCAAAGCCUUGUGAGUGGAUUUGGUAGACGGAAACUGAAAGAAGCCUGUCGUAUAUAUAUAUGUAUGUGUGUGUGUGUUUAUGUAUGUUUGUGUGUCUGUGUUUGUCCCCCCCAACAUCACUUGACAACCAAUGCUGGUGUGUUUACGUCCCCAUAACUUAGCGGUUCGGCAAAAAAAAAAGACUGAUAGACUAAGUACUAGGCUUACAAAGAAUAAGUCCUGGGGUCGAUUUGCUCGACUAAAGGCGGUGCUCCAGCAUGGCCGCAGUCAAAUGACUGAAACAAGUAAAAGAGUAAAAAGAGAGUAUAUAUAUGUAUGUAUGUAUAUAUAUAUAUACGUAUGUAUGUAUGUAUCUGUAUGUCUUUGUGUAUGUGUUUGUCCCCACCACCACUCAAUAACCUAUGCUGGUUUGUUUACAUACCAUAACUUAGCAGUUUGGCAAAAGAGACCAAUAGAAUAUGUACCAGGCUUAAAAAGAUAAGUACUGGGGUCAAUCUGUUUGACUAAACUCUUCAAAGUAGUGCCCAGCAUGGCCACAGUCCAAAAGUCUGAGACAAGUAAAAGAUAAAAGAUCAGAGCAGGACAAACAUCAUCGCUGCAAUGACUCACACAAUACACAACAGAUUGUGUUUCAUUCCAUUUGGAGUUUGUCGAUAUUUUGCACCCUAAUUGUGACCUGCUUAAAUAAAAUUUGUGCUUCGAUGUAUAAGAAACAGCAAAUAACACAUUCGCAGUUAUUGCAGAAGCUUGCUUAGUUAUAGAAAAAUUCAGCAUGCCCAACUGAAACAGCAAUUAAUGAAAACCACCAUUUGUGUAUCACUAAAUAUAUACACACUUUUGGAAGGCAUGAUGCUAUGGAAGUGUCUGAUAUAAAACCUCUUUAUAGACUUAUGUUAAAAACAAUAUAUUUUAGAGUAAGAUGAACUGCAUCAUUACAGUGAUUCACAUAAAAUGUUGGGUACUGGAACCUGCAAAAAACGGGAUUUUAAAAUGCAAUACAAAUUUUAUUCCUAAAUACUCCCUGAAAAAUAGUGAAUUUUUUUUUUUUUUUUUUGGUAUUUUUAUGCACUCAGCUUCCUGAGACCAUUAGACCACCUAUGUUAAGUCAUAUCUUAAAGUGGCCAUAUUUUCAAUGAGUCCAAAAACAUUGACUGUAAUUUUAUUCAAGACACCCAAGACUGAAUUAUUAAUGACAAUAAAGGUAUUUUACCAAAUCCCACCAAAUUCUAGAUUAUUUUGAAAAUUAAUUCCAACAUAGAGACUAUGUAUUAUGGCCAUGAAAGAGUUAAAAGGGUCUUAGAUUGAUAUAUUAUUAUUAUUAUUAUUAUUAUUAUUAUUAUUAGCAAGACUAAAAUAUGUUUUGCGUUUUAUUUUUCUCUUCCUGUCUCUUGAUAUACAUGCAUACAUACGUAUACUCACAUAUACCUAAAUAUGCGUGUAUGUGUGUGUGUGUGUGUGUAUGUAUAUAUAUAUAUAUAUAUAUACACACACACUUGCAUACAAUUUUUUUUCUUUUGUUCAAGAUAUAUUUUCAUAUGUAAAAAAAUUUAUUUCUAGAAAUUAUUUUCAUAUUUGAAAUUAAUUCCCCAUUUAUUUAUUUUUUACUCUCUAAGCUGUAACCAUCAAUAGUUAAAAAUGAAUAUGCAAGAAUUUUGUCUGCAAAUGACCAGACAGUGACCAGUAAGAAUUCAUUUCUGUAAAGAAUCCCCUGCACAAAAAUCACAGAAACGGUUUGGUCCUAAACGGAUCUCAUUCUGUUUCUCUCUCUUUUAUAACAACGGAACAAUGCAGGACGAUGAUAAGAUGACUUAUACCUGUGAUAAAAUGGAACUGUUUUCAAUAUUUCUCUCUCUCUCUCUCUCGCCCUUUCUUUCUCUCUCUUUCUAUUUUUUUUAUGCAUUUAUUUAUUAUUAUUUUUUUUUGCAAGAGAACUAACUCUGAAACUAACAGAAUAAAUUUGUUGAUAUACUCACUAUUUCUC